rnacentral:rRNA from 1 species
GAUGAACGCUGGCGGUCUGCUUAACACAUGCAAGUCGAACGCAACCUUCGGGUUGAGUAGCGGACGGGUGAGUAACGCGUGAGAAUCCUGCCUUGGGGUCGGGGACAACCACUGGAAACGGUGGCUAAUACCGGAUAAGCCUUUGGGUAAAAGAUUUAUUGCCCCAAGAAGAGCUCGCGUCUGAUUAGCUAGUUGGUGAGGUAAAAGCUCACCAAGGCAGCGAUCAGUAGCUGGUCUGAGAGGACGAUCAGCCACACUGGGACUGAGACACGGCCCAGACUCCUACGGGAGGCAGCAGUGGGGAAUUUUCCGCAAUGGGCGAAAGCCUGACGGAGCAAGACCGCGUGAGGGAGGAAGGCUCUUGGGUUGUAAACCUCUUUUCUCAGGGAAGAAGCUCUGACGGUACCUGAGGAAUCAGCCUCGGNUAACUCCGUGUCAGCAGCCGCGGUAAUACGGAGGAGGCAAGCGUUAUCCGGAAUUAUUGGGCGUAAAGCGUCCCGCAGUUGGCGAUUCAAGUCUGCUGUCAAAG